rnacentral:lncRNA from 1 species
CAGCCACCGAGCGCACUCUAGAACUCCUUUCUCUCUCAAACUGGCGCUGGGAAAGCAAAUAACUUCUCCUGGGGCUUAAGGGAGAGUUUGUAGAGAGAAUCACCGGGCAGCUUUCCCGCCAGCACGUGCUGGGGCAUUGGCUGGCUGCCUCCCCGGCCAGGGGUGAAGACCGUAAUGUACACAUGCGACCACAAGGUGGCACCAGCGGUCCUCUCCGCCACACACUCUGAGCACCAUUCCUGGUGCAGAAGCCACCCGGCAGUGAUGUGGCCGUCCCAGAGUAGGGCUCUAGCCUCUAGCUCAGUUGAAUUCUGUUGGUGGCGGAGCAGGCUGAACAAAUGUUAGCUGCAGGGUGGGCUGAGCACUCGCCCCCACCCGCCUGGUUCCCUAUCUCUUAUUUGCCUCAAAUCUGAACCCUCAGCCCCACUCAGGGGUGAACCCUCAGCCCCCACUCAGAACUAAACACUCAGCCCCACGCAAGGUUGAACACUCAGCCCCACUCAAGGGUGAACCCUCAGCCCAUACUCAAGGCUGAACCCUCAGCCCUACUCAAGGGUGAACCCUCAGCCCCCACUCAAGGCUGAACCCUCAGCCCCACUCAGGGCUGAGCAGCCCCCACUCAAGGCUGAACCCUAAGCCCCCACUCAAGGGUGAGCACUCAGCCCCACUCAGGGGUGAACACUCAGCCCCCACUCAAGGGUGAGCACCCAGCCCCACUCAGGGGUGAACACUCAGCCCCACUCAGGGGUGAGCACUCAGCCCUACUCAAGGCUGAACCCUCAACCCCACUCAAGGGUGAACACUCAGCCCCACUCAGGGGUGAGCACUCAGCCCCACUCAAGGGUGAACACUCAGCCCCACUCAAGGCUGAACACCCAGCCCCACUCAGGGCUGAGCAGCCCCCACUCAAGGCUGAACCCUAAGCCCCCACUCAAGGCUGAGCACUCAGCCCCCACCUGUCUGGUGCAAUGGCAACCCACAUCUGGCCCCGCCCGGGCUGCAUGAAGGCAGAAGGUGACACCCUUAGCAAGUACUGUGUGAUCCGAUCACUGAAGGCCAACAAGGCAGCGUGCAGACCCAGAGACCCCAUUAGAUUUGGGCUAUAAAAAAAACGCUCUCCUGCCAGCCCCCGCCCCCCUCUCGCUUUCGCUCUUUUCUCUCUUUCCCCUGUUCUCUUGCACGCGCUUUGCUCUCUCCUUCCCUCUCUCUUUCCCUGCUAGCUCUCUUUCUCUCACUCUCUUUUCAUUCUUCCUUCCCUGUUAAUCAGACACCGCUGCAAUAAAUAUCUCUUGGUCGCUCAGAGUGUUGUGGUCACUUUCCUUUCAAACUCAAAAUAGUGUAUGAAUGACCGUUAAGUAGGUUAUUUACAGCAGAAUCUAUUAACACAUCCCUCUUCAGAACAUAGAAAUGAUUGGUGACAGCAAGCAGAUUUGCAAAGUACAGUAUCUAAUGAUUUUUUUAAAACUCCAACAAUUUUUCUAAAUUAUAUAAGAAAAUAUGAAACACCUUCAGUACAGAUACUUUGACUUAUAAUGUUGAUUUGUCACAAGUAAAAGGUCUUUUCAUCUCCUUGGAUAUGCAACUGAGAAAUAGACUGAACCAGGGGUGAGGUCGAGAUACCAGUUUCCCUUUACUGAGAGUGAUGAAAAUGUUGGUGUUAUAGGGCUGGGCCCUUCCUGGAAACCAAGGCAACAUGAGGAACCUGGAUUCUUGUCAUCAAGUCAGAAAGAUUUCAGACACGUUGCUCAAAUUUACAGGCAAGAGUUUACUGAAGGGAUAGAUGCCGGAGUCCGGCUGGCUGCAGCAAAAUAACCCGGGGGGUGACGAACAACUUGUGCACGUUGAUACAGCAGGAGUGGGAGCCGUUUAUUGCAGGACAGGAGCAGUAUUUAUACAUUCCACACAGCUUAUCUAAUUAGCAUAAACUAGAUACAGCAGUCAACCAAUCAGGAAUCUCCACACUCAAUGGCUCGCUUUUGUUACUUCUCAAACCACUCCCUCUGGCAUUUUGCCAGGCAGCAUCCAGACUUGUUUACGAACUCUAACAUUCCCCUGGCUGAAUGCCAGGUGUUAUUUUGACUUGUUUACAGACUCUAACAGAUAGAAGAGAAAGGGAUACUCUCAAAGGAGACAGUGGGUCCUCUCAGACAGCAGAGGGACAGUGUGCCUCUCCUGCACUCCUGCUUCAUUGGGGAUCCCAGGAAAGUUUCCAGAGUCCCACCCAGGUCUACCUCUUGACUUUGACUGACAGCAGGAUGACAUCAGACUUUCAAGUCCCCACUGCCAUGAUAACUCUAGGUCGAGUUGGCCCAUGCUGACUGGUUCUAAUUGGAUUCUUAUCCACAAAUUCUUAUAGGUAUUAUGGUUAGGAGGAAUUAUCCCUAUCUUCCUGAGUUCUGGGAUCUGGUCUGUGAAAAGGUCACAAAAGUCUCUCCCUUCAGGGUAAGUUGACUUCUUAUUGAUAUUAUUUUGAGCCUGCAGUACUGCAGGUAGAUAACAGGUAGUUGGCUGAGAAACGUGACAUAUCCUGUCCCCUUAGGUCAGGCAGGGCUGCAGGUAAAUUUCUUGGAAAAGAAAGCAUGUGGGAGCCAGGAAAGUGGGCCCAUUUUAUAGAAUUAUUCCCUUAACUCGUAUUCCUACCGUUUGCAUCUGUCUGUCCCCUAUCACUAGGACACUGCUCUUUGAAGCCAGCAUGCUUUUAUAUAUCUCAAAUGCUUUUUAAAGUAGCAUUUAUGCCGUUCACACAAUAUUUCCAGCUUCUUGUUUAUGCCUACUGUAGGAUUUUAACAUCCUCUUUGUGGUUGGGUUGAGCUAUAUAAAUAAGUCUGACCAAUGAGUCAAAAGUGAAAUAUUGUGUGUCAUUUCUGGGAUGAAACACUGAAUUCCUGAUCUGAGAUGUUCUCUAACACAACUGGCUGUGUUCCAGACAACGGUGCUUUCAUCAGCCCCCUCAGCUGACUCUGAUGUAACAGGAAUGAAAAACAAACUUGUUUUAAGAUGCUGAGGAAAGGGAUCAAGGCAGGGGAAGAAGGGAGAGAAGGGGGGGUAGCACUGGAGAUUGAAAUAGAGAAAACUAUAUGAUAUGCAUUUGUGUAUGUGUCUAAAUGAACCCCACAAAUAUAUAACUAUAAUGCACUAAAAAAUAAGAUAAGAAAUUUUGAGAAGAUGCUGAGACUAGGAAGUUGUUUGUUACCUUAACAUAAUCCAGCUAUCCUGACACAGCCUGAUUCACCAGUGAAUAGAGCAGGUACUGGGCUGUGCAUAUGCUUGUUGCUUAGAUGAAAUAAAGUGAAGUUGUAUUAAUAUUUCUUACUUACAUUAUCUUUGACUUGCUUUCAUAAGACUCUCUCUUGGAGCUAAUU